GAUCAUGGCUCAGGAUGAACGCUAGCUACAGGCUUAACACAUGCAAGUCGAGGGGCAGCAUGGUCUUAGCUUGCUAAGGCCGAUGGCGACCGGCGCACGGGUGAGUAACGCGUAUCCAACCUGCCUUACACUCUUGGACAGCCUUCUGAAAGGGAGAUUAAUACAAGAUGUUAUCAUGAGUAAACAUUUUCACAUGAUUAAAGGUUUACCGGUGUAAGAUGGGGAUGCGUUCCA
rnacentral:rRNA from 1 species